AGCUUUGCUCAGUGGCAAUAUCAUAGUCAAUGAGCUUUAUCCGAGGCGCAAUUUAUUGCUAAUUGAAAAAUUUGCCCAAUACCCUGCCAUGACAACUUGAAAUGUAGUCGGCAUUGGCAAUUUUUGAAUUAUUUAAAAAAAU